AUUGAACGCUGGCGGCAGGCCUAACACAUGCAAGUCGAGCGGAUGAAGAGAGCUUGCUCUCUGAUUUAGCGGCGGACGGGUGAGUAAUGCCUAGGAAUCUGCCUGGUAGUGGGGGAUAACGUUCCGAAAGGAACGCUAAUACCGCAUACGUCCUACGGGAGAAAGCAGGGGACCUUCGGGCCUUGCGCUAUCAGAUGAGCCUAGGUCGGAUUAGCUAGUUGGUGAGGUAAUGGCUCACCAAGGCUACGAUCCGUAACUGGGCUGAGAGGAUGAUCAGUCACCAGGGAACUGAGACACGGUCCAGACUCCUACGGGAGGCAGCAGUGUGGAAUAUUGGACAAUGGGCGAAAGCCUGAUCCAGCCAUGCCGCGUGUGUGAAGAAGGUCUUCGGAUUGUAAAGCACUUUAAGUUGGGAGGAAGGGCAGUACGUUAAUACCUUGCUGUUUUGACGUUACCGACAGAAUAAGCACCGGCUAACUUCGUGCCAGCCGCCGCAGUAACAC
rnacentral:rRNA from 1 species